AGCACUAAGCCCUGCUAAGACUGCUGAGUAAUGGCCAGGGGUGGAGGAGGACGGCGCUCCGGCAGAUGCUCCGACAUUCAGGAUUCAUUAGCACUAAGCGGCAGUACUAAGCUGGCAAAGUCAAAAACCUUUCGGGCCGGCGGGUUACGGUUACCCUAGAAAUCCCCGGAUUAGGACCGUAAUGGCAACAAAUCUUGCGUAAACAAAGGAAGGAGGACGAAUCGCUUGACUUUGCACACCCUCUAGUGCUCCCUCUCUUUCUGUCUGCCUGCGGUGCCUCUUUGUCUGCAGCCCCUGUUGUCCUUUUUGCAGCCUCAACAUGGCUGCUCGGGAUUUUAUUUCACCCCUGCCUCUCAGAGAGCGAGCGAGAGAGAGAGAGAGAGAGAGCGAGCGAGAGACGGGGCUCUCCUAUGUGUACACACACAGGGGGUAGCAAGGACUUUGGAAGCGAAUAAAGAGUAAUAUAAGGGUGAAGGACCAGGCUGGCGAAAGGCAGCUGGGACAAAGUCGCGCUUGCCUCUGUGAUCAUCCAGCUGAAGCUCGCUGCGAAGUGCUCCACUUUUCAGCACCUUUGCCAAAUUAUCGCCGUCUUGCCAAAUCGAAGUCCGCAAAAAAUAUUACAUCACCCCAGCCCAACAGCACCCCCGAAUCAGAAAUGCUAAUUGAUUUCACGUGGCCAGAAGCAAAAGUUAACGCGAAAUCGUCAGGAAAUACACAUUCACGACGACCUCCCAAAACUCGCUAAUGCAGCGCAAAUAUUUGGCAACAUUAAAUAUAUUAUGGAAAUAAUA